GCCGAUAUAGCUCAGUUGAGAGAGCGUUAGACUAUACAUCGAAAGUCCCUCGUUCGAUCCCGUGUUUUGGCA
rnacentral:tRNA from 1 species